rnacentral:lncRNA from 1 species
UAAAUUUGCACUCGUGAGAAAUUCGAAAGUUCUUAGGUUCUACAUAUAGAAGCUGUUUUUCAAAGAAUUCUACCGUAUGAUGGUGUCUUGAAGUAGUUAAUAUUUUUGGUUCUUUCAACUGCAAACAAAAUUCGAUGUAUUUUUUAAAUCGUUUCCCGUUUUCUCUCUCACAGAAUCCCAACUCAAACUACAAUAAGUCCAGUAGAUGUAUGCAAAGGUAAAUCAUCUGGAACUUUUCCAGACCCACUCUCAUGUAAGCGCUUUUACGUAUGCAUCAAUGGAAAAGGAUUUAUUGCUCUCUGUGAAGCUAAUGAGUUAUUCGAUCAUGUUUCAAAUGGUUGUGUUGAAUCAUCUGUGGCCAAAUGUUCAUGAGUUUCUCCAAGAAGACCACGAAGCAAUCUUGGAAAUUAAUAAAUUUGAGAGUAUUUAUCAAGGAUUACUCAUAACAGGAAAUUUCCAGUUUGUUGGUAAAAUAUUGUAUUUAAUAACAUUUUAUGAAUAUUUAAAAUGCAUUAAGUUUAAUUUCUCUCUGCAAUUUGUUUAAACUUGAUUAAAAAUCUUUUGUAAUAUUUUAAAA